rnacentral:rRNA from 1 species
UGGGGAAUAUUGGACAAUGGGCGCAAGCCUGAUCCAGCAAUGCCGCGUGUGUGAAGAAGGCCUUCGGGUUGUAAAGCACUUUUAGUGGGGAAGAAAAACCAAAGAUAAUACCUUUGGGAAUUGACGUUACCCACAGAAAAAGCACUGGCAAACUCUGUGCCAGCAGCCGCGGUAAUACAGAGAGUGCAAGCGUUAAUCGGAAUUACUGGGCGUAAAGCGCACGUAGGUGGACAAUUAAGUCGGGUGUGAAAUCCCUGGGCUCAACCUAGGAACUGCACCCGAUACUGGUUGUCUAGAGUAUAGUAGAGGGAAGUGGAAUUUCUGGUGUAGCGGUGAAAUGCGUAGAUAUCAGAAAGAACACCAGUGGCGAAGGCGGCUUCCUGGACUAAUACUGACACUGAGGUGCGAAAGCGUGGGGAGCAAACAGGAUUAGAUACCCUUGUAGUCCCUGAGCGGGCUGGCAAGGCGCAU